rnacentral:rRNA from 1 species
UCCAAAGGUUGACCUCGGAUCAGGUAGGAAUACCCGCUGAACUUAAGCAUAUCAAUAAGCGGAGGAA